rnacentral:rRNA from 1 species
GACAGAGGCCUCGAGCGUUAGGCGGAAUCACUGGGCUUAAAGCGUGUGUAGGCGGGCCCGUAAGUGUCUUGUGAAAUCCCACGGCUCAACCGUGGAACUGCUGGGCAUACUGCGGGUCUUGGGCCAACUAGGGGCAGCCGGAACAAGCGGUGGAGCGGUGAAAUGCGUAGAUAUCGUCUGGAACGCCAAAGGUGAAGACAGUCUGCUGGGGACUUGCUGACGCUGAGACACGAAAGCCAGGGGAGCGAACGGG